rnacentral:rRNA from 1 species
AUUGAACGCUGGCGGCAUGCUUUACACAUGCAAGUCGAACGGUAACAGGUUAAGCUGACGAGUGGCGAACGGGUGAGUAAUAUAUCGGAACGUGCCCAGUCGUGGGGGAUAACUGCUCGAAAGAGCAGCUAAUACCGCAUACGACCUGAGGGUGAAAGCGGGGGAUCGCAAGCCCUCGCGCGAUUGGAGCGGCCGAUAUCAGAUUAGGUAGUUGGUGGGGUAAAGGCUCACCAAGCCAACGAUCUGUAGCUGGUCUGAGAGGACGACCAGCCACACUGGGACUGAGACACGGCCCAGACUCCUACGGGAGGCAGCAGUGGGGAAUUUUGGACAAUGGGCGCAAGCCUGAUCCAGCCAUGCCGCGUGCGGGAAGAAGGCCUUCGGGUUGUAAACCGCUUUUGUCAGGGAAGAAAAGGUUCUGGUUAAUACCUGGGACUCAUGACGGUACCUGAAGAAUAAGCACCGGCUAACUACGUGCCAGCAGCCGCCGUAAAAC